rnacentral:lncRNA from 1 species
CUCUGGUUAGACAAUCAAUGACGGACCGGGGAGACGCUCUCCCCUUUGGAGAUGAAACAACAGCUGCCUGUUGGAAGUGAUGACAUAGCCAGAAGAUUGCUUAACUGCAAUUCCAUUCUGAGGUUUGGUGUUCAAAGAAAAGAAUGAUUAUCACACGGAAAUUCCUGCUGUAUUUUCCUUCAGUCUCCUCUCAGCUGCUAGAGCAGCAGCCACGGACGACACAGUGGACGACACUGUUGCGAAUAGGGACUCAACAUCCUUAAGGGUUAAGAAAGGCUGAUCCUGAUUCUUCGUGUUCCCACUUAUGAAUGAACUGGUGCUUCUACUUCUGUUCAGUUUAUAUAUGCUCUCUUCCACGGUGUCUUUAACCUAAUGAAAUUUUGUUAGAACACAUAGAGACUAUAAAGAAGAAAUUCUAACAGAUGACAUGAAUUUUCGAAGUUUCGGACAACAAGCAAACUAGAAAGCAUGAGAUUGAAGAAUUACACACGUGCACAAAUUCACAAAAAGGAAUGAGAUUGAAGAAUUGUUAAUAGAAAACCCUCACGCUAGUCCUUAAAGAGUUCCUGCAUGCUCCUUUUUAUUCAUAGCAUCAAAUCUUUUCUAAUAUAAUCACUAAAGAAGGGAGUGUACAUUUAAAUUCUGAAACAAAUAUAAAAGGCUCCAUUCGAGCAACAAUCGGAUGGAUGACAUGAUAAGGAUUAUUAUAAGUCUAAUCUAAUUACAUAUAGAAAUUGCAUGGAUAAAUGGAGAGCUAAAUAGAAAUGUAAAUUGUUUUAAAAAGGAACUCAAACAAAUAGUCCCAAAAUACCCCAUGCCUAUCUUCAGUGUGGUGAGGUUAUGUAUCUCAAAUGCAUGUCUGCUAUAUGCAAUGUUCAAAAGAGAAAAAACGCAAGUGUUUAGCAUCCAAAAUUAGUUUAACAUAAAACAAAAUAAAAAAGGAAAAGGAGCAUACUAUAAAUCGAUGGACUAAUGUCCUCUUUUCCUGCCCAAUUCGGUGCACCCGGCUGACUGCUUGAGCCUCAGCUGCUGGAUUGAGCAGUGGCUCCACAAGAAAACAUGCUGUGCUUCUAAGAGAUUGAGUGCAUUGGCUCCAUGCUGGAUUAAGAGCAGCAACACUUGAACAGAUUUUGUUUCUUGUUGUUGUCUAUCAGUUCUUUUGAGACUGCUAUUCUGCGCUCUGAAUUCACUGAUGGCAACAUGUGAUUUCCUGCAUUUAUGAAGUCACAACCAAAAGACAUGAUAAAAAAUAAGUUGAAGUCUACAAAUAACUUGAUCAACAUUAAAAUACCUGAAACACACUUCUAACAGUAUUUUUGGCACUGGGAAACAAAGAGGUAUGCAUACAUUCAAACUUUUAAACUUCCCACAAUACCAAUUUUUACAGAACUCCAAGUGUUGAUCUACUAUAAUUGGAUCUCUCUCUUCCCUCCCCAAGGUUAAAUUACAACAUUUCAAUAUUUGCACAAAUUAUGCAAGGCAGUUAUUUUUCAUCCCCAAUCUCCUUUCAUUUUGUUCGUGAUAUCAUUAGUAUUCAUCAACCUAAUUUUUGCACUUUGCUUGCAUAAGAAUGCUGAAAACAGAAGGAACCACUUUUCUUGGAUGAUGUGGUUUCGUGAUAAUUUUGUUUGAGUUACCAAAUUAAGAGGAAUUUAACAACAAUCUUUUGGCAAACCUGAAAAGCAAAAUGAAAAUUCUCCUGGAUGGCAUAGCCCUUUUCUUUUGGCCCAUCAAGGUCCAUGAAGAUCAGUUGAACUAUAAAAAAAACAUAAAUAAGAUGAUCAAGAGAUCUAUCUACCUUCCUCCUUUCAUCCGGAUAUAGGUGAUUUCAUUAGCAUUGAAAGCAUGCUCUAACACAUCAAGGACAUCAUUCCAACUUGAAAAUACGAGAACCUUUGCUUUAGGAUCUGAAGACUUUAUCCACAAGAUUCUUCUAGUGACUGCUUCAACCUUUAUGGUGCCAAAAAAGAAGUGAACAAGGUUUAUGCUCUGGGAAAAGGAGAAUAGAAAUGCAAUAGUAAAUGCUGUCUUAAGUGCACUAUGUGCAUGUUCCAAGACUAUAAAUUUGAAUUUGAAUUUGCUCAAGGCAUUAGAUUAGGAAGUAAACCUUUGUUCCAUAUGAACCUUGAACAGCCAAAGUAGCUUCAGUUUUUUCACAGCCUUGAAUUGCAUCCAGCAUAGCAGAACUACAAGAUUUGUCCUGUCUAUCAUCGGCAUACGCAAUAUUCCCAAAAUCAGUAUGCUGCCGACAUGUUGGGCACAUUACCCAUUUACGUUGGAACCUGUUAUCAUGCAUUUUUCGCUCAGUCAUUGCAAAGAAACCUGCAAGAAAAAAGCAUGAAAUGAAAAUUAAAUGGCGCUUAACCAGGGUGAAAUAUUUCAUAUGAGAGGAAUCAACAGGUAAUAAAGUCAACUCCAACGUACUUAAGAUGGUUGAGGACAUCUAAGAGACAAGCAAGCAUGCAUGUCUAAGUACAUGCAUGCAAGCAAUCAUGUGCAUCGCACUCACACACACAUGAAAGAGAGAAGUCUGAGGAACUGGUGCAAGCAAUCAUGAGCAUCGCGCUCACACACACAUGAAAGAGAGAAGUCUGAGGAACUGGUGGGUCAAGGAUGCUAAGACAAAGUAUUCAUCAACUGAGAAUGCAGUUGACCCAUCAUAUCAAGGUAGAAAAAUUGCCAUGGUCUCUCCUAACUUUUAAGUGACAAAAUGCAGAUAUAGGAAGCAGGAUUAUCAAUAUGUUGUGCGACAAUUAGGAGAAAAGGUAGUCUUUUAUAAGAUGGUUUCUUAUCAUGCAUUGGCUUUUGCACCUGCUAUUACUGGCUUAGAAGGUUGGAUGCCCAGUUUUAGCUGGAUCCAGACUCCAUGUGUAGGAUUGUUUGGUUUGUUCUGUUUGGGAUGCCUAUUGGGUCAUUUGCUUCUUUUUAUCAAUGUUUGUUGUAUUAAAUUCACAUGAGAGAGCCAGUUCUAAAGUCGGUAAACUGAAUGUUUGUUGUUCUAACACCAUAAUUAUUUCAUGAAUGGAUUUUAGGAAGUUGAAUCAUGAAAUGGAAAACAAGAAAAACUCACAUUUACAGCAAGUGACGUGCCCGCAUGGGAAAACCAUCUUUUGAUUGUUUAGCUUCUCUUGACAGAUAGGGCAUGCUUCCUCAUCAUCUUUUGGCAAAUAUUCACUUAUCUUCUCUGUUGUCAUUGGCACGGCAGCCAUUUCUUCAGUUAACAAGGUAUUAUUUGAACUUUCAGAUGUUGGUUUCUGUUUUGAUUGUACCAAACCCUGAAAGUAAAUCAGAUAGUAAGAUCAAUGAUGAAAAAGAAAUAUUUUAUUCAUAUACAUACAGUAACAGAAAGGAAUUGAGUGACAAAUGUCACCCAGCCAAGGUUUAUUAACAAUUAUGCUGGCUAAAAAACCAGCAUAAUUCCUCAUAUAUACACCAAUAAAAAAAAAUCAUAGACGACUAUGCAACCUCUGGUUAGACAAUCUAUGACGGACCGGGGAGACGCUCUCCCCUUUGGAGAUGAAACAACAGCUGCCUGUUGGAAGUGAUGACAUAGCCAGAAGAUUGCUUAACUGCAAUUCCAUUCUGAGGUUUGGUGUUCAAAGAAAAGAAUGAUUAUCACACGGAAAUUCCUGCUGUAUUUUCCUUCAGUCUCCUCUCAGCUGCUAGAGCAGCAGCCACGGAUGGGGGCAGAUGUCUUAGGUUUUCAGUUGGCUUUCCAUCACUUUCUGGCACAGUGGACGGCACUGUUGCGAAUAGGGACUCAACAUCCUUAAGGGUUAACACAGGCUGAUCCUGAUUCUUCGUGUUCCCACUAAUGAAUGAACUGGUGCUUCUACUUCUGUUCAGUUUAUAUAUGCUCUCUUCCACGGUGUCUUUAAC